rnacentral:lncRNA from 1 species
UGUACUUUCAACAAAGAAUUGUUAUUUUCAUGAAUUCUGUAUUUUGGAAAUUCGAAUACGUGCCAUGAAUAUCUGUACAAUUCGGUUUACUCCUCGCAGCUAAAUGUAGCAGCAGUUUCUGUAGUGUAGUGGUUAUCACGUUUGUUCACACGCGAAAGGUCCCUGGUUCGAAACCAGGCGGAAACAACGCACAUCGACACAUUCUGAAGUACCAUAGUGGUAACAGAGAAUUUCAUUAUUCUCUUAUUUUGGAAAUUCGAAUACGUGCCAUGAAUAUUUUUAAAAUUCGGUUUACUCCUUGCAGAAAAAUCAAGCAGCAGUUUCUGUAGUGUAGUGGUUAUCACGUUAGCUUUACACGUGAAAGGUCCUCAGUUUGAAACCGGGAGGAAACACUGCUCUUUGACAUGUGCAGUAGGUACUGUACUAUUAACAGAGAAUAGUUAUUUUCAUAAAUGCCUAAUUUUGGAAAUUUGAACACG